UACGUAGGGUGCGAGCGUUAAUCGGAAUUACUGGGCGUAAAGCGUGCGCAGGCGGUUUUGUAAGCCAGAUGUGAAAUCCCCGGGCUUAACCUGGGAACUGCAUUUGGGACUGCAAGGCUGGAGUACGGCAGAGGGAGGUGGAAUUCCACGUGUAGCAGUGAAAUGCGUAGAGAUGUGGAGGAAUACCGAUGGCGAAGGCAGCCCCCUGGGAUGAUACUGACGCUCAUGCACGAAAGCGUGGGGAGCAAACAGG
rnacentral:rRNA from 1 species